ACGAUGAACCCAGCUUGCUGGGUGGAUUAGUGGCGAACGGGUGAGUAACACGUGAGUAACCUGCCCUUGACUCUGGGAUAAGCGCUGGAAACGGCGUCUAAUACCGGAUACGACCUGCCCCGGCAUCGGGUGCGGGUGGAAAGUUUUUCGGUCAAGGAUGGACUCGCGGCCUAUCAGCUUGUUGGUGAGGUAAUGGCUCACCAAGGCGACGACGGGUAGCCGGCCUGAGAGGGUGACCGGCCACACUGGGACUGAGACACGGCCCAGACUCCUACGGGAGGCAGCAGUGGGGAAUAUUGCACAAUGGGCGAAAGCCUGAUGCAGCAACGCCGCGUGGGGGAUGACGGCCUUCGGGUUGUAAACCUCUUUUAGUAGGGAAGAAGGACUUCGGUUUGACGGUACCUGCAGAAAAAGCACCGGCUAACUACGUGCCAGCAGCCGCGGUAAUACGUAGGGUGCAAGCGUUGUCCGGAAUUAUUGGGCGUAAAGAGCUCGUAGGCGGUUUGUCGCGUCUGCUGUGAAAACCCGAGGCUCAACCUCGGGCCUGCAGUGGGUACGGGCAGACUAGAGUGCGGUAGGGGAGAAUGGAAUUCCUGGUGUAGCGGUGGAAUGCGCAGAUAUCAGGAGGAACACCGAUGGCGAAGGCAGUUCUCUGGGCCGUUACUGACGCUGAGGAGCGAAAGCGUGGGGAGCGAACAGGAUUAGAUACCCUGGUAGUCCACGCCGUAAACGUUGGGAACUAGAUGUGGGGACCUUUCCACGGUCUCCGUGUCGCAGCUAACGCAUUAAGUUCCCCGCCUGGGGAGUGCGGCCGCAAGGCUAAAACUCAAAGGAAUUGACGGGGGCCCGCACAAGCGGCGGAGCAUGCGGAUUAAUUCGAUGCAACGCGAAGAACCUUACCAAGGCUUGACAUAUACCGGAAACUUCCAGAGAUGGUUGCCCCGCAAGGUCGGUAUACAGGUGGUGCAUGGUUGUCGUCAGCUCGUGUCGUGAGAUGUUGGGUUAAGUCCCGCAACGAGCGCAACCCUCGUUCUAUGUUGCCAGCACGUCAUGGUGGGAACUCAUAGGAGACUGCCGGGGUCAACUCGGAGGAAGGUGGGGAUGACGUCAAAUCAUCAUGCCCCUUAUGUCUUGGGCUUCACGCAUGCUACAAUGGCCGGUACAAAGGGCUGCGAUACCGUAAGGUGGAGCGAAUCCCAAAAAACCGGUCUCAGUUCGGAUUGAGGUCUGCAACUCGACCUCAUGAAGUCGGAGUCGCUAGUAAUCGCAGAUCAGCAACGCUGCGGUGAAUACGUUCCCGGGCCUUGUACACACCGCCCGUCAAGUCAUGAAAGUCGGAACACCCGAAGCCGGUGGCCUAACCCCUUUGGAG
rnacentral:rRNA from 1 species